UACGUAGGGUGCGAGCGUUGUCCGGAAUUAUUGGGCGUAAAGGGCUCGUAGGCGGUCUGUUGCGUCAGGAGUGAAAACUCGAGGCUUAACCUCGAGCUGUCGGCGGAAACCAUCUGGCUAGAGUCCGGAAGAGGAGAAUGGAAUUCCCGGUGUAGCGGUGAAAUGCGCAGAUAUCAGGAGGAACACCGGUGGCGAAGGCGGGACUCUGGGCCGAUACUGACGCUGAGGAGCGAAAGCGUGGGGAGCAAACAGG
rnacentral:rRNA from 1 species